rnacentral:lncRNA from 1 species
UACACUAUCAGUUUGGGCUUUAAAACACUAAGUUGACUAGUUCGUGGAAGCGAAGCCUAAAUGGAUCUAAAGUUAAGCACUUAGGAUUCACUUGAGCAGGCUCGAGAUUGCUAGCCAUAAGCUAGGAGGUUCAUUAUGAAUUGGCAACAAUGGGGAUUUGAAAUUGAAAUCAGACCUUGAAUUGCCUAAGACCAACUUCGAGUUUUAUCAGUUUUACCAAAGCAAAUUUCAAGCUUGAUCAUUGUACAUAUUGCAGAAAAAAAAUACAUGUGUUCCUCAAACUAGAAUUUCUAUCCAGUGAUUAUAAAUUAUUUUUUAUGGUUUCAAGUCAGCUCGGUGAUAUUUAAAAUCCUGAUUUGACAUGUGUUGGAGUUUACUUAAAAAUGCAUGGAUAUUCUCAAUGGAAUACUGGACAAGGGUAAAGAAAAGGAGAACCGUCUACUACAAUUUUUGAUGAAGGCAAGAUCAUGGACAAGUUCACAGGGGUAUUUUCGUCACUUGUGGACAAAAGGAGUUGAUUAGCAUUUUAAAUAUAUCCGUCAUCCUUUCAAUUUAAUGUUUUAAAAAAUCACAAAAACAUUGCUUUUCAUUUCUUCAAUUGAAAAUUGGUGUUUGGCUGAUUCUCUUUAGGACUUGGAUGAGUGGAUUUGAGUGCUUUGCAAAGUAGACAGAAAAAGAGAGUAGUUUUGAGUGCUUUGAAAAACAAAGAGAGUUUAAAAUUUCAUUAGAAGAGGUUUUUCUAAUGUUCAAAUGUCCUCAAAUUGAUCACCUCAACAUCAAGAUAUAUGCACAUAAGAAAAAAAUUGGGUUUCAAGUUUUGAAAAUAGUGCAUUGUGUAACGUCAAUUUUCAAGAUUUUUAAGUUUUCAUAGAUCUAUCGAUCGACACUAUUUUUUAAAGCUUUAAACUUUAUAAAUAAA